GGUAGGAUGGCCGAAAUAGGCGGCGGAUUGUAGCUCCGCAAAUAGAGGUUUGAGUCCCCUUCCUAUCA
rnacentral:tRNA from 1 species